UACGAAGGGUGCAAGCGUUAAUCGGAAUUACUGGGCGUAAAGGGCGCGUAGGCGGCCUGAUAAGUAGGGGGUGAAAUCCUGCGGCUUAACCGCAGGGCUGCCUUCUAAACUGUCGGGCUCGAGCACAGUAGAGGCAGGUGGAAUUCCCGGUGUAGCGGUGGAAUGCGUAGAGAUCGGGAAGAACAUCAGUGGCGAAGGCGGCCUGCUGGGCUGUUGCUGACGCUGAGGCGCGACAGCGUGGGGAGCAAACAGG
rnacentral:rRNA from 1 species